rnacentral:rRNA from 1 species
UACGUAGGGUGCGAGCGUUGUCCGGAUUUAUUGGGCGUAAAGAGCUCGUAGGCGGUUUGGUAAGUCGGGUGUGAAAUCUCCACGCUCAACGUGGAGGGGCCACUCGAUACUGCCAUGACUCGAGUCCGGUAGAGGAGUGUGGAAUUCCCGGUGUAGCGGUGAAAUGCGCAGAGUAUCAGGAGGAACACCGAUGGCGAAGGCAGGUCUCUGGGCAUUAACUGACGCUGAGGAGCGAAAGCAUGGGGAGCGAACAGG